rnacentral:rRNA from 1 species
UACGGGGGGGGUAAGCGUUGUUCGGAAUUACUGGGCGUAAAGGGCUCGUAGGCGGCCAACUAAGUCAGACGUGAAAUCCCUCAGCUUAACUGGGGAACUGCGUCUGAUACUGGAUGGCUUGGAUUUGGGAGAGGAAUGCGGAAUUCCAGGUGUAGCGGUGAAAUGCGUAGAUAUCUGGAGGAACACCGGUGGCGAAGGCGGCAUUCUGGACCAGCACUGACGCUGAGGCGCGAAAGCUAGGGGAGCAAACAGGG